GCAUACAGACGGCACGGUCAACCUUAGCAAUUUCACUACCUUCAAUGUGUUGGGGUGGACGAUCACAAAUACCGAUUUUGAAUCCAGUAGGACACCAGUCAACGAACUGAAUUGUACGCUUGGCCUUAAUGGUCGUUACAGCAGCUUGAACAUCGCGAGGGAUAACAUCACCACGAUACAGCAAACACGUUGCCAUGUAGCGACCGGCACGAGGAUCACAUUUAACCAUUUGGUUGUAGGGUUCAAAACAUUGAUUGGUGAUUUCUUGAACGCUGUUAGAUUCAUGGAAGGCCUUGGCGGCACUAACAAUUGGUGCAUAAGUGACGAGAGGGAAAUGAAUACGAGGAUAAGGUACCAAAUUCGUUUGGAAUUCUGCCAA